rnacentral:lncRNA from 1 species
GCUCCGCCGCUGCGGCGGCGAUGGACGAGGGUUACUUCAGAAGGAAUUACUCCGCUGUGGCUGCGGCUGCAGCGGCUGCGGAGGCUGAUGAGGAGGAGGAGGAAGAGGAGGAGGAGGAGGCGGACGAUGUGGAGGAGGAGGAGGAGGAAGAUGAAGGGAGGGGGAGCGAGGUGGAGGAAGGGGAGAAGGAGAGAGAAGGGAUGAGGAGGUUGGCGAAGGCGAUAGAGAGGUUUGGAGAAGUGUAUGAGAGAGUGGAGGGACAGAAGCUGAGGCAGAUGGUGGAUUUGGAGAAACAGAGGAUGCAAUUUGCUAAAGAUCUUGAAGUCCAGAGGAUGCAGAUGUUU